AAUUCUGCCCCGUUCUUCUCCUCCUCUCCCUCGUGCCCCCAUCCCUGCCGCCGCGCGCCUCCCCUCCUCCCCUUCACGGCCGCCACAGCAGCAGCAGCCGGAGGUCGAUGGCGCCUCGUUCCUUCUCCUCUCCCCUUGCGCCCCCAUCCCGGCCACCACCUCGUGCGCAUCUCCUCCUCCCCAUCGCGUCCGUCUUAGCAGAUGCUGCUGGAGGUCGCCCUAGAGGAACUACACGACUACAGCCGCCACAUCGAGCCGCCGUGAUCUCCUCAUCUAGCCACUACCCGGCAAGGCCUCGUUCCUGUGAUCAUUUUGAGUGGUCAUUCACUAAAUUUGGUUCAGCGGUUGAGCUGCAGUGACGAAAACAAGUUGCUGGCCUGGCAGUGCCUCUCCCUCCAUCAUGACCCCUUGUAUUGUAUGGGGAUAGAAGGAUGGCAUUGACGAAGCAGUUCAUACCGCCGCCGCCAAACCAGGGAGUGAAACCUAUGACCCAGGAUUUGUUGAGAUGGAUGAGGUGGCGGAGCGAAGGAGGUUUGUUGCGGACUCACCGCGCGCUUGCUGUUGCAGAAAGCACAAGAGUGCGAGGUUUCGGAAGUGACUGAUGUUGCAGCCACAGGUAUUGCAGUGAUCAACAGCUGGGCAUCUCACCACAUCCAGAUAACAACCUCCACGACGUUGUAAGGAUGGAAAAAGUUGCAGAACAGGGGUGACCCAGCUUUCUCUUGACAUAAUUGUGAGGCAAGCAUCUUUCCAUGAUGACAACGGCCAAAUUAUAUGGAAGAGGGCCAGCAAUAUCUUUGAGAGAAGCAAGCGCCGUUUAGAACACUACUUUACAUUGUAGGCUGAUAGGUUUUACAGCCAGCUUUAGAUCGGUCAGAUUGUACAAAGGAUGAGGCAUGGCAAUACUUUUCUUACAUCUUAAUUCAUCCUACUAUCGAUUACAUAGGACAAAAUUGAGCCAUGAAGGUCUUGCUCCCACUCAUUUCUCAUGUUGAUAUUCAGGUCACAACAUUGCGAAAUAGGAGCCAUCCGUGGAUCAAAGUAGGACGGUGUCACAUCGACGGGCAUGGGAUGUCUGAUCUGUUUUGAUCCUGAUGGUCUGAUGCAGAACUUUGGGAGGAGCGGGCUGUCGCCAUCGUAUGGAGGAGCGCCAGCCACUACUCCGUCGGAAGGAGCUACCGACACCACAACCAGGCAUUUUUCCUCCCCUCAGCAAGGUUGUGGUACCCUUGGUUACAAGAUCAAGUGAAAGCUUGUGAAAGAUCGUGUGAUACUACCCUCAUCAUGGGUCUCAAUAGACUGUCAAAUUAUUGUCCAGUAUUUCCUCAAUGAAAAUGUAAGUGCCACAUUCCUAAAUGACACCGCUCUCUCUACAAUCUCAAGUUGUGCAUCCAAGAGUUUGUCUCUCGGCAGUCUAGGAAAUGGUUAAUGCCGACUCUAAAAUUGGGAAGCCUGAUGCCCCGAUGGUGCUGCUGAUAUGGCCAAAUGAAAUUCUAACAGCUGAUUUUGCCACACAAGAUGUUGUGGAUUAUAAGCGUUUAUGGUUGGGAACAUUAAGAUUAUUCCCUAGAAGAGAAAGCAGUUUAUAGGUUGUUGAUUAUACGGUCAACACCAAGUAGUAAGACAUGUGGUAUUAAUGCACCAUGUAGUAAGACAUGUGAUAUUAAUGCUAAUUUACAUAGUGUUGCACCUAUCAA